UGUGUAGGUGGUGCUCCAAGUCUGUUGUGAAAUCUCCCGGCUUAACUGGGAGGGUGCAGCGGAAACUGGAAUGCUUGAGGAUGGGAGAGGAAAGCGGAAUUCCUGGUGUAGCGGUGAAAUGCGUAGAUAUCAGGAGGAACACCCGUGGUGUAGACAGCUUUCUGGACCAUAUCUGACACUGAGACACGAAAGCGUGGGUAGCAAACAGGAUUAGAUACCCUGGUAGUCCACGCCCUAAACGAUGCAUACUUGGUGUGAGCGAUUCAUUUCGUUCGUGCCGGAGCUAACGCGUUAAGUAUGCCGCCUGGGGAGUACGGUCGCAAGGCUGAA
rnacentral:rRNA from 1 species